GACGAACGCUGGCGGCGUGCCUAACACAUGCAAGUCGAGCGAGGAACUUCGGUUCCUUGCGGCGUACGGGUGAGGAACACGUGGGUAACCUGGCUCAUAGAGGGGGAUAGCCUUCCGAAAGGGAGCUUAGUACCGCAUAAGAAGUGAGAAUCUCAUGGUUCUAGCUUUAAAUGAGUAAUCCGCUAUGAGAUGGGCCCGCGGUGCAUUAGCUAGUUGGUGAGGUAACGGCUCACCAAGGCGACGAUGCGUAGCCGACCUGAGAGGGUUAUCGGCCACAUUGGAACUGAGACACGGUCCAGACUCCUACGGGAGGCAGCAGUGGGGAAUAUUGCACAAUGGGCGAAAGCCUGAUGCAGCAACGCCGCGUGAGUGAUUACGGCCUUCGGGUUGUAAAGCUCUGUCUUUGGGGACGAUAAUGACGGUACCCAAGGAGGAAGCCACGGCUAACUACGUGCCAGCAGCCGCAGUAACAC
rnacentral:rRNA from 1 species